rnacentral:rRNA from 1 species
AGGACGAACGCUGGCGGCGUGCUUAACACAUGCAAGUGGAGCGACGAACCAGGGCUUGCCCUGGGGCAGAGCCGCGAACGGGUGAGUAACACGUGGGUUACCUGCCUCGAUGACUGGGACAACCCGGGGAAACUCGGGCUAAUACCGGAUGUGCCCGCAAGGGGAAAGGAAGCUUCGGCCUCCGCAUCGAGAUGGGCCCGCGGCCCAUUAGCUUGUUGGUGAGGUAACGGCUCACCAAGGCUUCGAUGGGUAGCUGGUCUGAGAGGACGAUCAGCCACACUGGGACUGAGACACGGCCCAGACUCCUACGGGAGGCAGCAGUGGGGGAAUCUUGCGCAAUGCGCGAAAGCGUGACGCAGCAACGCCGCGUGGGGGAAGAAGGCUUUCGGGUUGUAAACCCCUUUCAGUUGGGACGAAGCUUCGCCGGUGAAUAGCCGGCCGGAGUGACGGUACCUUCACAAGAAGCACCGGCUAACUACGUGCCAGCAGCCGC